rnacentral:rRNA from 1 species
GACAGAGGCCCCAAGCGUUAGUCGGAAUUACUGGGCUUAAAGGGUGCGUAGGCGGGCGCGUAAGUGUUCUGUGAAAUCCCCGGGCUCAACCCGGGAACCGCAGGGCAUACUGCGCGUCUCGAGGAAGCUAGAGGCCGGCGGAACGAUCGGUGGAGCGGUGGAAUGCGUAGAGAUCGAUCGGAACGCCAAGGGUGAAGACAGCCGGCUGGGGCUUUCCUGACGCUGAGGCACGAAAGCGCGGGGAUCAAACAGG